GGGUAUAUAGGUCAGUGGUAGAGUGCAUGCCUAGCAUUUAUGAGGUCCUGGGUUUAAUCCCCAGUACCUCCA
rfam:Camelus ferus unplaced genomic scaffold scaffold4955, whole genome shotgun sequence.